rnacentral:rRNA from 2 species
GGUUAAGCGACUAAGCGUACACGGUGGAUGCCCUGGCAGUCAGAGGCGAUGAAGGACGUGCUAAUCUGCGAAAAGCGUCGGUAAGGUGAUAUGAACCGUUAUAGCCGGCGAUGUCCGAAUGGGGAAACCCAGUGCAAUUCGUUGCACUAUCGUUAACUGAAUACAUAGGUUAACGAGGCGAACCGGGGGAACUGAAACAUCUAAGUACCCCGAGGAAAAGAAAUCAACCGAGAUUCCCCCAGUAGCGGCGAGCGAACGGGGAGCAGCCCAGAGUCUGAAUCAGCUUGUGUGUUAGUGGAACGGUCUGGAAAGUCCGACGGUACAGGGUGAUAGUCCCGUACACCAAAAUGCACAGGUUGUGAACUCGAAGAGUAGGGCGGGACACGUGGUAUCCUGUCUGAAUAUGGGGGGACCAUCCUCCAAGGCUAAAUACUCCUGACUGACCGAUAGUGAACCAGUACCGUGAGGGAAAGGCGAAAAGAACCCCGGCGAGGGGAGUGAAAAAGAACCUGAAACCGUGUACGUACAAGCAGUGGGAGCACCUUCGGGUGUGACUGCGUACCUUUUGUAUAAUGGGUCAGCGACUUAUAUUCUGUAGCAAGGUUAACCGUAUAGGGGAGCCGCAGGGAAACCGAGUCUUAACUGGGCGUUAAGUUGCAGGGUAUAGACCCGAAACCCGGUGAUCUAGCCAUGGGCAGGUUGAAGGUUGGGUAACACUAACUGGAGGACCGAACCGACUAAUGUUGAAAAAUUAGCGGAUGACUUGUGGCUGGGGGUGAAAGGCCAAUCAAACCGGGAGAUAGCUGGUUCUCCCCGAAAGCUAUUUAGGUAGCGCCUCGUGAA